rnacentral:sRNA from 1 species
ACCAAUAUUUUAUACCUAAUAAAUAUUUGUUUGCUCAGAAUUGUUUUAAACCAUUUGCGAUUUCUACUUUAUCGCUUAUUACUUUAAGCUUGCACUUCCACUGAGGGUUUUUUUUUCCUGUGAUAAAAUGACAUCAUACAUUUUUCAGUACUGGCAGUGCCUGUUAUAGUGAAAUAAAAGUAUAAUAUAGUGAGUGGAAAAAUAGAUAACUCCAGAUCUCAUUUAAAUCAAUAUUUAAAAACAACAAGAGUCAGCUAGUCUAGAACAGAGGAGAACGGUAAUAAAGACAGACGUAGGAGUCUGCUUUGCGCAGCUACGUAGAAGCUAUUAAUUUAUAAAUUGCGACAACGUUAUAUCGUAAU